GAAAGUAAGCAAGGGCGCAUGGCGGAUGCCUUGGCUCUCGGAGGCGAUGAAGGACGUGAUAAGCUGCGAUAAGCUUCGGGUAGGUGCAAAUAACCUUUGAUCCGAAGAUUUCCGAAUGGGACAACCCGACAUUCUGAAGGAAUGUCAUCCUGCUUGGCAGGAGGCUAACGCAGGGAACUGAAACAUCUUAGUACCUGCAGGAAAAGAAAAUAAUAAUGAUUCCCCAAGUAGUGGCGAGCGAACGGGGAUUAGCCCAAACCAAUGUUGUUACGGCAAUAUUGGGGUUGUAGGACCACGUUGUCGCAAGACAUUCAGUGAGAAGAAUUCUUUGGAAAAUGAAACCAUAGACGGUGAUAGUCCGGUAUUCGAAGCUGAACGAAGCGUAGUGGUAUCCUGAGUAGCGCGGGACACGAGGAAUCUUGCGUGAACCAGCCGGGACCAUCCGGUAAGGCUAAAUACUCCCGAGAGACCGAUAGCGAACCAGUACUGUGAAGGAAAGGUGAAAAGCACUUCGAAUAGAAGAGUGAAAUAGUCCCUGAAACCGUGCGCCUACAAGCGGUCGGAGCUGCGUAAGCAGUGACGGCGUGCCUUUUGCAUAAUGAACCUACGAGUUACUUUUUCCGGCAAGGUUAAGGAUCUUGAGAUCCGCAGCCGAAGCGAAAGCGAGUCUUAACAGGGCGAUUAGUCGGAAGGAGUAGACGCGAAACCAAGUGAUCUACCCUUGGUCAGGUUGAAGGUUAGGUAACACUAACUGGAGGACCGAACCGAUAAGCGUUGAAAAGCUUCCGGAUGAGCUGAGGGUGGGGGUGAAAGGCUAAUCAAACUUGGAGAUAGCUCGUACUCCCCGAAAUGCAUUUAGGUGCAGCCUUGCGGGUUACUGAUGUGAGGUAGAGCGACUGAUAAGAUGCGAGGGCUUCACCGCCUAUCAAGUCUUGAUAAACUCCGAAUGCGCAUUAGUUCUAUCACAGGAGUGAGGGCAUGGGUGCUAAGGUCCAUGUCCUAAAGGAGAAGAAUCCGGACCAUCAGCUAAGGUCCCGAAAUAAUUGCUAAGUUGAACUAACGAAGUCAGAUUGCUAAGACAGCUAGGAUGUUGGCUUGGAAGCAGCCAUUCAUUUAAAGAGUGCGUAACAGCUCACUAGUCGAGGAGUUUGGCGUGGAUAAUAAUCGGGCAUUAAGUGUUUUACCGAAGCUAUGGGAUCAGUAAUGAUCGGUAGGGGAGCAUUCCACUCUGCGUCGAAGGUGAAGCGUGAGCUUUGCUGGAGCGUGUGGAAAAGCAAAUGUAGGUAUAAGUAACGAUAAAGGGGGUGAGAAACCCCCUCGCCGAAAGACUAAGGUUUCCUGAUCAACGCUAAUCGGAUCAGGGUUAGUCGGGUCCUAAGGCUCAGCCGAACGGUGAGGCCGAUGGCAGAACAGGUUAAUAUUCCUGUACUACCUUAAGGAGUGACGUGGAGACGGAGGCGUGACAGCGCCGCGGACUGACGGAAUAGUCCGUUGAAGGGUGUAGAUGCUGAUUAUCCCAGGCAAAUCCGGGAUAAGAGUCGAACCUGAUAGUAUGGAGCGUUCUUCGGAACAAUCCAAUAGUGCGUGUAAUCAUACUCCCAAGAAAAUCCGCUAAACUUAAUCCUUGAGGUACCCGUACCGCAAACGGACACACGUAGUCGGGUUGAAUAUACUAAGGCGCUUGAGUGAUUCACGGUUAAGGAACUAGGCAAAUUGACCCUGUAACUUCGGGAUAAAGGGUCCCAACGAGAGUUGGGCGCAGAGAAUAGGUCCAGGCAACUGUUUAACAAAAACACAGGGCUGUGCAAAAUUGAAAGAUGAAGUAUACAGCCUGACACCUGCCCGGUGCUGGAAGGUUAAGAGGAGAUGUCAUCGCAAGAGAAGCAUUGAAUUGAAGCCCCAGUAAACGGCGGCCGUAACUAUAACGGUCCUAAGGUAGCGAAAUUCCUUGUCGGGUAAGUUCCGACCUGCACGAAUGGUGUAAUGAUCUGGACACUGUCUCAACCGUGAGCUCAGUGAAAUUGUAGUAUCGGUGAAGAUGCCGAUUACCCGCGAUGGGACGAAAAGACCCCGUGAACCUUUACUAUAGCUUAACAUUGAAUUUGGGUAAUUGAUGUGUAGGAUAGGCCGGAGGCUUUGAAGCGGGCACGCCAGUGUCCGUGGAGCCGCUGUUGAAAUACGGCCCUUUGAUUAUUUGAGUUCUAACCCGUUGUUGCGGGGACACUGUUUGGUGGGUAGUUUGACUGGGGUGGUCGCCUCCAAAAGUGUAACGGAGGCUUCUAAAGGUGCCCUCAGGACGAUUGGUAACCGUCCGUAGAGUGUAAUGGCAUAAGGGCGCUUGACUGGGAGACAGACAAGUCGAUCAGGUAGGAAACUAGAGCAUAGUGAUCCGGUGUUUCCGUAUGGAA
rnacentral:rRNA from 1 species